GCAGGUCAAUAAGGCACAAACUGCUCAAAAGUGUUGAACCCCUCUAGGAAUAAGGAUGCAAAAGAGAUACGAAAACGAGCUAAACAAGCCUUCUUUUCAGAGUUAGGGAAACCUCAUUGCCUUCAACUGGUGCCUCAACAAAGGUGAUUUUUGACUGCUCAUUCNUUUUUUUGGUGUUAAUGAAGGCANAGGCAAGGUAGACGACCAACAGCCUGCUUGGGCUCCAUUACGAGAUAAUCAUACGAUGACAAGUUCAAGGCUAAAGGAUUGGGACAAAANGCCUAAAUAUAACAGUGCAGGUUUCUUUGAGCUGGAAAGUGAAAGCACCGAUCCAUAAAUUGCAAGUGCUGAAAAGAAGAGGAAGAGAAGAGACAGAGAGAAGAAAAGAAAGAAAGAGAAGAAGAGCAAAGAAAAGAAGAGAGAAAAGAAAGAGAGAGAAGAGAAGAAGAAAAAGAAGAAGAGAGAAGAGAAAUAGAAAAGAUAGAAAAGGAGCAAUUGCUACUGAUGACAAAUUCUACUCCUACAAUUACAAGGGAACCAAAAAGGGAAGGUUUCCAAUUCUUUACUUCUUUUCCAUUCAUUUUAUAUUUCUCUUUCAAAUCAAUUAUCAUUCCAUAUUCAAUGAAAACUUCUUCAAAAUAUGGCAAUUUAAAUCUUGAGUUAUUGCUACCCUUAAGGAUACAAGAUACUCAAGAUAAAAGAAAAGUGACUUGUGAAUUAGGACUUUCAAAUUUCUUUAAAACCAUAAAACAAAGUCCUUAUUCUAAAGUUACUUCCACAAAAAAGUUCUUUCUUGGAUUGAUAAUAAUUGGAGAUAUAUUUGAUGCUUAUUGUAGAUAUGUUAAUGAUCCAGGAGGAAAGUGACAAACCAAAGUUGUACUUCUUUAUAUCUUACCAAUUUGAGGACAAAUCGUUUUUCAAGAGGGAGGGUAUGAUGGAAACCCAUUUAGGACAUUCCAUUCAAAGGAGUACUAACUAAAGUUAAGGCUAAGAAAGGGAAGUAAAGAAAAACUUUUUCUUAAUUUUCUUUCUCUAAGUCUUAGAAGGCUUCUCUUUAAUAUGUUUAUAUGUGUUUUGUAGGUCUAAUAAAGCUAGGAGAUCAUGGAUCAAGUAGAUGAUUUAGCAUGGACCAAACCAACCCAAGAAGAAGGACAAAGAAGUCAUUUUACACAAAAAGGGGGUGAGCUUAGCAAGGAUGGGGCUACAUCAUGAAGGCACAUGUUUCAUACCAUCACAUUUACACAUCAUGGAGUGCCUCGGCUGAAAUACUUGGANUGCACAUGUCCNACACCAUGGCAUUGCUGAUUCUAGAAGAGGUGCACACCUUCCACACCGUUGACAAGUGUUGGAAAUCUGCAUUGUUCAUUUUCAAUCAAGCAUCGUCCAUAGGCUAGACAUUUGCUUAUAAAGUUGCUUGUAUCAGCAUAGGCCAUCACCUUUGAUUUGAAUGAAGAAUUAUUCUGUUGAUCUCUGUCCAGAAAUUUCUUUUUGUUGAAGGUCACCGAGAGAGAGCUUGAGAGUUUCCUCUAGCCUCUCUCCCUAGCUAGGCUUCCAUUCCUAGCAUAUCUCUAUCCAUAUGCAUCACAUUUCAGCAUCCAAACUCUACCUUCAUUACACUUUUCUCCAUCACCGGUUCAUCAAUUCUCAUCACCGAACCAAUAUUCGUUCCACUGCGCCCUCCAGUCAUCAUCAUCAUUCUUCAAUUCAUUCUGCUGCGUUGCCAAGCACAAUUUCCAUUGCUGCGUUCUUCUACUGUCCAAUCCGAGAAGAAGAUCUAGUUGAUUCCCUCCUCCACCAGAAUUAGUUCGAUCGUUCUUCCAUCAAGCAUUUGUUGCACCUCCACCGUUGCCAUCUGCAUCAUUAAUAGUAUAGGUCUUCCACUAUAAAUAUGAGAUGUAUUGGCAUAUGAAAUCACUUUUGAGCUUAGUGAAAUGCUGCAGAAAUGAAUUUCCAGCUUGCUUUGCUCUUGAGUCACUAAUUCUCUUCACUUUCUCUACCCUUUCCUCUAGCUUCCUUCCAUAGUGGGAAGGCCUUCUGAGCUGAGGAGAUAACCCACACACUCCUACCAUUUUCCAAAACAGAAACACCAUUGCACUCAUCCAUAUACACUGCAUCAACAACAUUAUCCGCUGCAUCACUCUGUUCGAAGUUUGCUUGCUGUUUGGGAUUGCUACACAUUUAUUCCAGACCUUGGCUAGCUUCCAUCAGUUAUUAUAUUUAAUUUAAUUAUAUUUUAAUUAUACUUAACAGUAUUAGGCAUUCAAGAUAAUAACAAUCUUGCAUUAUCUUGAAUAGGGGUCGGGAGGAAAAGUUAUAUAAGGGUAGAGUGAGUUCUGCUAGGAUAGGGGUCGGGAGGAAAAGUUAUAUAAGGGUAGAAGAGGGGUAGAUUGAAUAUUGAAGAAGAUGAUUCACAGCCCAAAAAGAAGGUCGUUUGGGGUUCCUGCUACACAAUGGAUUUCAGUCUAUAAUGCAAGACAGCCAAUGAAGCAAAGGUAGAGCUGCAGUCUCUUUUUGGCAGGGCUUGGUUUAAUUUUGCGGGUUAUGAACUCAGAUUCUGUUUUGACAGAGGAUUUGAUUGCAGACAACAUCAUCCUCUUAGACACAUCUUAUUCAACAAAUGCUAUCUCAAAAAGAUUAUGUAUGUAUUAACUAAACGAAACCAUUGUUUAAUGAAAAUUCUCUACGAAUUUGUAGAGAUUGCUAGAUUGGCUUUUCCACUCAUUUAAUGUCAUGCUUUCUCUAAAUUUAAAGUAUCUGGUCUCACAAAAUGAAACAGGAAACAAUCAAUUUAUUGGUACUAUGAAGACUAAUAAUUUUUCGUAGUUUAAUGUUUUGUUAUGACAUGUUUAGUCUAGUUUUGCAGUCAAUUCCAUGUACUGAAAUUAUUAUUACAGGCAAAAAAUUGCAAAAUGUUGGUUAUUGUACCUUCUUCUGUUUAUGCUGUGAUUUUGAUAUGUGAUUGAGUCAGUACUGAUUAACAUUUUAUUCGGUAAAAUCAAUUUGUUAGAGUCUUUUACUUUGGAAACCAAAAUCUGGUUUGUCAAGUCUUGCAUGUUGCUUUUGCUGUCUAUUAAAUCCUGUGUUAACGUUGAAUUUUCAGAUUUCUUUUCAUCUGUUUUGA